rnacentral:rRNA from 1 species
AGUGGCAGACGGGUGAGUAACACGUGGUCAACCUGCCUUUGUGUGGGGGAUAACUAGCCGAAAGGUUAGCUAAUACCGCAUACGAUCGCUCGGGGGCAUCCCCGGGCGAUGAAAGGAGCAAUCCGCACAAAGAGGGGACUGCGUCCCAUUAGUUAGUUGGUGGGGUAACGGCCUACCAAGACUCCGAUGGGUAGCUGGCUUGAGAGAGCGACCAGCCACACUGGAACUGAGAUACGGUCCAGACUCCUACGGGAGGCAGCAGUGAGGAAUUUUCCGCAAAGGGCGAAAGCCUGACGGAGCGACGCCGCGUGUGGGAAGAAGGCCUUCGGGUCGUAAACCACUGUCGAAGGGGACGAUAUUGACGGUACCCUUGGAGGAAGCCCCGGCUAACUACGUGCCAGCAGCCGCGGUAAGACGUAGGGGGCAAGCGUUGUCCGGAAUUAUUGGGCGUAAAGCGCUCGUAGGUGGGUCAACAAGUCUGCAAGCAAAGACCCGGGCUCAACUCGGGAAUCCGUGUGGA